UCGGAUAUGGUGUAACGGCUAACAUUGCCGCCUCUCAUUCCCCAGUCUUCAGUACGCGGCAGCUUGGGGUUCGAUUCCCCGUAUCCGAA